rnacentral:rRNA from 1 species
UACGUAGGGGGCAAGCGUUGUCCGGAAUCAUUGGGCGUAAAGAGCGUGUAGGCGGUUCGGUAAGUCCGCUGUGAAAGUCAAGGGCUCAACCCUUGAAUGCCGGUUGAUACUGUCGGGCUAGAGUCCGGAAGAGGCGAGUGGAAUUCCCGGUGUAGCGGUGAAAUGCGUAGAUAUCGGAAGGAACACCGGUGGCGAAAGCGGCGCGCUGGACCUCUUCUGACGCUGAGGCGCGAAAGCCAGGGGAGCGAACGGG